UGCUUUGAUGCGGAGGGCGGCGCAGCUGUACCAACGUAUGUGCGCGUGUCACUCAGGGACACUUUAAUGCUGUCGUGUUCUACACGUAAAAGCGAAGCUUACAUUUAAGCAUCUCCCAUGUUUUUCCUUUUUGCUCGUAGUCAUUAAGCAUAGCUACUUACAAUGUCCCUUCGAUAUGUCAUUUUCCUUCCAGUAAGUGAUGAUAGGUGACGUUAAUGCAAUUGACAGUUUUUUAGUGAACUGUGCGAAGACGGAACAUGUAAGGAAACAAACACGAGCGCAGAAUAUCAACAUAUGAAUCGUAUAUUAAGUCAUAUAUUGAUAGUUCACCCAAAGGCUAAUGUGCACCAACAAGCCCAGCUAAAACCCUUCUACAAUUGGCAAUAUUUCUUAUGAUGGUUUGCCCGUAUUCCCACUGCAGUUGUAUUCUCCUCAGGCAAAUCGGUACUGACAACACCGCCACCUGUUUGUUGGAUCAUGCCAGCUGGGUCAUUCGCUGCGAACUUGACCCCCACCAAGGGCCAAAC